CAACUUUGAAGUUUUUCCGGCAUCUACAGUGUUUUUCCGGCAAAAAAAAAACAGUUUUCCUUCAUCUGUUUUAGCAAAUUUUCAACGAUGAAUUUGGGAAUCGAUGCUUUCGGGUCUAGAAACCUGGGUUCGAUGUUAAACUACAUAUGUAUCAAGCUCGAUACAUAUGAUUUAUAUGCACCAGCUUGAGGGGGAGUGUUAGAUAUGUAAAU
rnacentral:lncRNA from 1 species